UCCAGAGGCUUAUUGCUGUAAGCCUUGAGAACUGGAGGCUUAAGGUUCCAGGCUUUCAAAGCAGGAGGC
rnacentral:miRNA from 1 species